GGGGCUGUUAUUGGUUUCGACGGGAUAGAUGAAUUAUUAGCUGCAAGUAGAUGGUAAUCUUAAAAUACAAACAAAAAUAAAUAACAACAAUAAUUAUAAUGCUUACACAAACGCUUAUGCGUUUGCUUAAUUAAUAUCGUAAGCUCUUCUUAAAUUGCUCUUGUUUACGGACUUUUUAAGAGGAUCAAAUCAUAGUAAACUAUAUUGCUUUAUUUGUUUAGGAUAAAGUAACGAAUAUUAUCUAAACUCGUUAUUUGGUGGGUAAGUUAACUACCUUUAUCAUUUAACUAAAUCAUAAUCGUUAACUAAACUUGUAGACGCUACUAUGGAUUUUACCUCGGACACGAGUUCAAAUCUCGUCAGCUCCACCA
rnacentral:tmRNA from 1 species